GGGAAGGUUUCCAGGAAUAUUCCUACGGCCCGCUGUGCCCACUCACCCGGCAGGGAGACGGCAAGGCUCAGAUCCAGAGGUCAUGUCACAAUGUGAGUGUGUCCUGCAGGGCCUGGCACCAGAAGCAGUGUGGGCGGGGAGGAGAAACAAGAUUCCAAACGGCACCAGAAGAGACUAGUCAGCAGCUAGGCUGCAGAAAAUUGUUCAGUCGCCAAACUGGUACAAUCAUAGGCACACGUAAAACUGAUUAAGUGGUCAAGACAUUUACGCCCUUCCAGAAUAUGAGACCGUCAAAGAAGAUGCACCCCAAAUGCAGAUUUAGAGGGAUUUCAGACGUGUGUCAAGCCAGUAAUGAGAACCAAGAGCCUAAGCUCUUUACUCACUCCCACUACUGUCGCUUGUACACUAAAAUCAAACAACCCCAGCCUGAUAAUCACAGUUUCUGAAAGCACAAAGUAACACUAUACAAGUCCCAGAAAGUGAAAGAACUUCUUUCUAAAUUCAAACGACUGAACAAGGAAACAUUCAGGUGGGCAGAGUCCUUGCAGUUUCAGUUCUCGCCACAGGAAGAUUUAAAGGA
rnacentral:lncRNA from 1 species